rnacentral:rRNA from 1 species
ACAUGCCUACAACAUAGCGUUAAUUCACUGGAUUCCAUUAGAAAUACACAAUUAAGUGUUCUUAAGAUAGAGUAGUAUUGGGAUGGGUGAUCACCCAGAAGGUCCUAGUGUUUUACAUGCC